rnacentral:lncRNA from 1 species
AAAAUCUUGUUUUAUUCUUUUGAAAUAAAGCAGUUCAAACAUGCAUGCCUGUUAGAAUUGGAAAAGGAAAAAGUGUCUCCACAAAACAAAAGCACCUUAUUUCUGUGUUUUUCAAUGUGUGUACAUGUGAGUACUUAAUUAUCAUCACAAAAAGAUGGAGGUUGAAGACAAAAAAAAGAAGAGCAAAUUGAUAGAAUGAAGUCCCAGAGGAUGUAGAAGAAAGAAGGGUUCUGAUGCAUGAUUCUUGGCUAGGAGGAGCACUGCUUCACCUGAAAGAGAAGAAAGGGGAUUCUGAAAGACAGUGAGGAAGAUGAAGCCCAGAGUGUUCCAGUGAUGGGCCUCGAUUCACUCAGCUUCAAGUCAGCCAGACUCCAAUGCGCAGGCUCAAUCAGGUCAGACUUGGUAUUUGUCUUUCUGGAUCAUGCUGGGGUAUGAUUCUCAUUGCGGACAGAAUAACAACAAGAAGACCUUGAGAAUAAGCAUCCAUUUGUGAGCCCCAAGGCGAAGAAGCUUUCCUGAAGCAACAACAGGAACAGGAAGCAAAAAGGAUUUGAAAUGAAAUAGCAAGGGUUCCUGAUGCAUGGAAUAACACCUUCUAUUACUAGUCUUAUGCAGAUAUUAUGUACUUUUGAAGGCCCAGCCCGAAUUUUUUUGGGUGACCUGAUUAUCCAUUACGUAUUUGAUAGUCAUACAUAGCAGAGUGUAAUAUCGGGAUAAUAAAUUGUUUUUGUUUUCAAUAUGUUACCUUUGCCACAAUUCAAACUUUUUCUAGUUUCUUAGUAUUUGUGUGCUGAAGCCCUUCCCCAAGAUGACUAUAUUUGGAGACAGGAUUUUUGGAGAAUAUUUCAUCUUUUGGUUUAGAAAUUCAAAGCAUUCAAGUUUAUUAAGACUUGACCAGGAAGAAAGGAUCAAAGAGAGGCAAUGUUUUCUCUUAUACACAUUGUUUGCACAUUGCUCGUUAACACCUCCAGGACAGAGCGUCACCAUGAAAUUCUCUAUUGAGCAGUAAAGAGAGACAGAGAGAGAGAGAGAGAAGAAAAAAGAAACAACAGCCUGGAAGUAGCUUUUGUCUUUCACCACUAUUCACUAUUGAGAUGUUUAAUAGCUAUAAAAGGAGAGAGGGAUUGUCAUGCUGCCAUGAAAUGGAUAUAAACAAUUUUCAGCUGAGACUCUGACCAAAAAGUAAGUUUUCCGUCAACAAGAAUUUAAAACAGUCUUUGAUUUAUGGCAUCCAGCAGAGAAUGCAAUCACAGAUAGCACAGCCAGGAAAAGAACAUUCAUUAUUUUAGAGAGACAAAGAAUUGUGGAAUUAUGCAUCCAUUUUCUCUAAUAAACAUUUUUAUCACUUAUGGGAG